rnacentral:rRNA from 1 species
AUUGCACAAUGGGCGCAAGCCUGAUGCAGCCAUGCCGCGUGUGUGAAGAAGGCCUUCGGGUUGUAAAGCACUUUCAGCGAGGAGGAAGGUGGUGAGCUUAAUACGCUCAUCAAUUGACGUUACUCGCAGAAGAAGCACCGGCUAACUCCGUGCCAGCAGCCGCGGUAAUACGGAGGGUGCAAGCGUUAAUCGGAAUUACUG